rnacentral:rRNA from 1 species
GAUGAACGCUGGCGGCGUGCCUAAUACAUGCAAGUCGAGCGAAGAGAUGAGGAUCUUGCUGCUCGGACGUUAGCGGCGGACGGGAGUGUAACACGAGGAUCACCUACCUAUAAGACUGGGAUAACUUCGGGAAACCGGAGCUAAUACCGGAUAAUAUAUUGAACCGCAGGGUGCAAUAGUGAAAGACGGUUUUGCUGUCAGUUGUAGAUGGAUCCGCGCCGCAUUAGCUAGUUGGUAAGGUAACGGCUUACCAAGGCAACGAUGCGUAGCCGGCCUGAGAGGGUGAUCGGCCACACUGGAACUGAGACACGGUCCAGACUCCUACGGGAGGCAGCAGUAGGGAAUCUUCCGCAAUGGGCGAAAGCCUGACGGAGCAACGCCGCGUGAGUGAUGAAGGUCUUCGGAUCGUAAAACUCUGUUAUUAGGGAAGAACAAAUGUGUAAGUAACUAUGCACGUCUUGACGGUACCUAAUCAGAAAGCCACGGCUAACUACGUG